GCAGACAGGGACACCCUUGUCUCCUCUCCCUUUCCCUGGGCAGGAAAUCCUCCACUCCUCUCAGCAGGGAAGAGUCUUGGCACCUUCAUGCCUCCUCCAACAAGUUCAUUUACACUGAAGACUUUGCAAACCCCUCCUGUAAAGACUUAGCACCAGACUGGAAAUAGCAAAGGUGCUGAGUUAACCCACUCUGAAGAGUCUCUGGAUCCCAUGACUGAGCUUUGGAUAGCACAGCACAGCUGUCAAUCUUAGACUGAUAGCUUAAUUUGCUGAUUUAAGGUAACUGUUUCUUAACCUGAAGAAACCGCCCCCCCCCCCCGAAAAUUUUUGUUAUUUCACUCCAUUUAUAUUGUUCAGUCUCAGCUUGUUCUACUUGACAUAGGCCAGCCUAAGCCCUGCUCAGUGGUUAUGGAAUAAUCCCUAUGAUAAAAACUGAGACAGUUUUGUCUGGUGAAAGGAUUCCUUUGUUUGUUAUGUAUUGGGGCAAAAAAAAAAAAAUCAUCCCUUCUUUGUAGGUACUAGUCUUCUCUCAGUGUUUCACUUGGUUAGAAAGUGAAUGCAGAUAGGUUUGUCUUUUUAAACUUUAUUCCUCUCUGGCUAUUCCCACACUGUGGCCUGAAAACAUUUGUAGCCCCAUCUUGCUGGAAGCCAGAGGAGUCAGGUGUGAUUCCUGAUGAUCCAGGAAGUGAGGCAGAAAGCACACACUUUUCCCUGCCCGCACUCCUUGAUGGAUUGCUGUAUCCCAGGAGAGAAUGUGUACAUAUACAACUUGUGGAUAUUCUCAGUUCAGUCAGAGAGAAAAGGAGAAAGAUUUCUGCCAGGCUAAGCCUGGGAAAAAGUCCAGGAGGAAUGUAAACCAUCUGUUAUCCUGUUUUCUGUUCAUACUGUUUAUAGAUAUGUUCUACCACACUGACCUAAGUCCAGUGGACCAAUCAGGUGAAAUGGUUUUACUUUAAGACCAAUGGAAUUAAUGUUCAUGAUGUUCUCUAUAAAAGAGCGAUGUACUUUGAAUAAACGAUCAUUCUUUGCCUUCUGAA